UACGAAGGGUGCAAACGUUGCUCGGAAUUAUUGGGCGUAAAGCGCACGUAGGCGGCUUGGCAAGUCGGAUGUGAAAUCCCUCGGCUCAACCAAGGAAGUGCAUCCGAAACUGCCGAGCUUGAGUACUUAAGAGGAUCGCGGAAUUCCCGGUGUAGAGGUGAAAUUCGUAGAUAUCGGGAGGAACACCAGUGGCGAAGGCGGCGAUCUGGGAAGAUACUGACGCUGAGGUGCGAAAGCCAGGGGAGCAAACGGG
rnacentral:rRNA from 1 species